rnacentral:rRNA from 1 species
UUAAGUUAUUAAGGGCGCACGGUGGAUGCCUUGGCACUAGAAGCCGAUGAAGGACGUUACUAACGACGAUAUGCUUUGGGGAGCUGUAAGUAAGCUUUGAUCCAGAGAUUUCCGAAUGGGGAAACCCAGCAUGAGUUAUGUCAUGUUAUCGAUAUGUGAAUACAUAGCAUAUCAGAAGGCACACCCGGAGAACUGAAACAUCUUAGUACCCGGAGGAAGAGAAAGAAAAUUCGAUUCCCUUAGUAGCGGCGAGCGAAACGGGAAGAGCCCAAACCAACAAGCUUGCUUGUUGGGGUUGUAGGACACUCUAUACGGAGUUACAAAGGACGACAUUAGACGAAUCAUCUGGAAAGAUGAAUCAAAGAAGGUAAUAAUCCUGUAGUCGAAAAUGUUGUCUCUCUUGAGUGGAUCCUGAGUACGACGGAGCACGUGAAAUUCCGUCGGAAUCUGGGAGGACCAUCUCCUAAGGCUAAAUACUCUCUAGUGACCGAUAGUGAACCAGUACCGUGAGGGAAAGGUGAAAAGCACCCCGGAAGGGGAGUGAAAUAGAACCUGAAACCGUGUGCUUACAAGUAGUCAGAGCCCGUUAAUGGGUGAUGGCGUGCCUUUUGUAGAAUGAACCGGCGAGUUACGAUUUGAUGCAAGGUUAAGCAGUAAAUGUGGAGCCGUAGCGAAAGCGAGUCUGAAUAGGGCGUUUAGUAUUUGGUCGUAGACCCGAAACCAGGUGAUCUACCCUUGGUCAGGUUGAAGUUCAGGUAACACUGAAUGGAGGACCGAACCGACUUACGUUGAAAAGUGAGCGGAUGAACUGAGGGUAGCGGAGAAAUUCCAAUCGAACCUGGAGAUAGCUGGUUCUCUCCGAAAUAGCUUUAGGGCUAGCCUCAAGUGAUGAUUAUUGGAGGUAGAGCACUGUUUGGACGAGGGGCCCCUCUCGGGUUACCGAAUUCAGACAAACUCCGAAUGCCAAUUAAUUUAACUUGGGAGUCAGAACAUGGGUGAUAAGGUCCGUGUUCGAAAGGGAAACAGCCCAGACCACCAGCUAAGGUCCCAAAAUAUAUGUUAAGUGGAAAAGGAUGUGGCGUUGCCCAGACAACUAGGAUGUUGGCUUAGAAGCAGCCAUCAUUUAAAGAGUGCGUAAUAGCUCACUAGUCGAGUGACACUGCGCCGAAAAUGUACCGGGGCUAAACAUAUUACCGAAGCUGUGGAUUGUCCUUUGGACAAUGGUAGGAGAGCGUUCUAAGGGCGUUGAAGCAUGAUCGUAAGNNNNNACAUGUGGAGCGCUUAGAAGUGAGAAUGCCGGUGUGAGUAGCGAAAGACGGGUGAGAAUCCCGUCCACCGAUUGACUAAGGUUUCCAGAGGAAGGCUCGUCCGCUCUGGGUUAGUCGGGUCCUAAGCUGAGGCCGACAGGCGUAGGCGAUGGAUAACAGGUUGAUAUUCCUGUACCACCUAUAAUCGUUUUAAUCGAUGGGGGGACGCAGUAGGAUAGGCGAAGCGUGCGAUUGGAUUGCACGUCUAAGCAGUAAGGCUGAGUAUUAGGCAAAUCCGGUACUCGUUAAGGCUGAGCUGUGAUGGGGAGAAGACAUUGUGUCUUCGAGUCGUUGAUUUCACACUGCCGAGAAAAGCCUCUAGAUAGAAAAUAGGUGCCCGUACCGCAAACCGACACAGGUAGUCAAGAUGAGAAUUCUAAGGUGAGCGAGCGAACUCUCGUUAAGGAACUCGGCAAAAUGACCCCGUAACUUCGGGAGAAGGGGUGCUCUUUAGGGUUAACGCCCAGAAGAGCCGCAGUGAAUAGGCCCAAGCGACUGUUUAUCAAAAACACAGGUCUCUGCUAAACCGUAAGGUGAUGUAUAGGGGCUGACGCCUGCCCGGUGCUGGAAGGUUAAGAGGAGUGGUUAGCUUCUGCGAAGCUACGAAUCGAAGCCCCAGUAAACGGCGGCCGUAACUAUAACGGUCCUAAGGUAGCGAAAUUCCUUGUCGGGUAAGUUCCGACCCGCACGAAAGGCGUAACGAUUUGGGCACUGUCUCAACGAGAGACUCGGUGAAAUCAUAGUACCUGUGAAGAUGCAGGUUACCCGCGACAGGACGGAAAGACCCCGUGGAGCUUUACUGUAGCCUGAUAUUGAAAUUCGGCACAGCUUGUACAGGAUAGGUAGGAGCCUUUGAAACGUGAGCGCUAGCUUACGUGGAGGCGCUGGUGGGAUACUACCCUAGCUGUGUUGGCUUUCUAACCCGCACCACUUAUCGUGGUGGGAGACAGUGUCAGGCGGGCAGUUUGACUGGGGCGGUCGCCUCCUAAAAGGUAACGGAGGCGCUCAAAGGUUCCCUCAGAAUGGUUGGAAAUCAUUCAUAGAGUGUAAAGGCAUAAGGGAGCUUGACUGCGAGACCUACAAGUCGAGCAGGGUCGAAAGACGGACUUAGUGAUCCGGUGGUUCCGCAUGGAAGGGCCAUCGCUCAACGGAUAAAAGCUACCCCGGGGAUAACAGGCUUAUCUCCCCCAAGAGUUCACAUCGACGGGGAGGUUUGGCACCUCGAUGUCGGCUCAUCGCAUCCUGGGGCUGUAGUCGGUCCCAAGGGUUGGGCUGUUCGCCCAUUAAAGCGGUACGCGAGCUGGGUUCAGAACGUCGUGAGACAGUUCGGUCCCUAUCCGUCGUGGGCGUAGGAAAUUUGAGAGGAGCUGUCCUUAGUACGAGAGGACCGGGAUGGACAUACCUCUGGUGUACCAGUUGUCGUGCCAACGGCAUAGCUGGGUAGCUAUGUGUGGACGGGAUAAGUGCUGAAAGCAUCUAAGCAUGAAGCCCCCCUCAAGAUGAGAUUUCCCAACUUCGGUUAUAAGAUCCCUCAAAGAUGAUGAGGUUAAUAGGUUCGAGGUGGAAGCAUGGUGACAUGUGGAGCUGACGAAUACUAAUCGAUCGAAGACUUAAUCAA